rnacentral:lncRNA from 1 species
UGAUUCCACCAAACCAAAGGCCUUGCAACCUACAUGUGAUAGUGUACUUGUCUUACCCGAGGAAUCUUCUGAACGUUCUUCUUUGCUUCUUCAGCUAUUUGGUGCUAAAGACAAGGAUGUUGCUGAUCCUGUCGGUAAUGAUAAUACCUUGCAACAUACUAGGGAUAGUGUAAUUGUCUCACCCAUGGGAAAUUCUGCACAUUCUGGUGGGCAUAUUCAGGUACUCGAUGAUAAAGACAAGGAAACAGAUGUUGCUAAUCCUGUGGGUGAUAGUACCUUGCAACCUACUCGGGAUAGUGUAAUUGUCUCACCCAUGGGAUAUUCUGCACAUUCUGGUGGGCAUCUUCAGCUAUUGGAUGAUAAAGAGAAGGACAAGGGUGUUGCUGAUCCUGUGGGUAAUGAUAAUACUUUGCAAGCUACUCGUGAUAGUGUAAUUGUCUCACCCAUGGAAAAUUCUGCACAUUCUGGUGGGCAUCUUCAGCUAUUCGGUGCUAAAGGCAAGGUGGUUACUGAUCCUAUGGGUAAUGAUAAUAUUAAUGAGAUUGAAAUGGCAUGUCCUGAGUCUGGCCCAAUUAUUUCCACAUCUCAACAGCCUGAGAUGCAAACACAUG